CUGCUAGAUCUAGAAGAUCGUUUAGCUAUCUAGAGAGAUUUGUGUUGCUUUAACGAUCUAUUUUAUCAGAGGUUCAAACUUCCAGCUAUUUAAUUUCUGGAGCAAAAUUAGUUUUUCCCAUCCUAAAGCUGAAUCAAAGAAAGAUCCAGAAGCGAUUUGAUAGAAAACCAGCAUGGACCAAUAUAUGGAAAAGACAUACUAUAGACG